rnacentral:rRNA from 1 species
AGAACGAACGCUGGCGGCAUGCCUAACACAUGCAAGUCGAACGGACGUCUUCGGACGUUAGUGGCGCACGGGUGCGUAACGCGUGGGAAUCUGCCCUUAGGUUCGGAAUAACUCAGGGAAACUUGAGCUAAUACCGGAUAAUGACUUCGGUCCAAAGAUUUAUCGCCUAGGGAUGAGCCCGCGUAGGAUUAGCUUGUUGGUGAGGUAAAAGCUCACCAAGGCGACGAUCCUUAGCUGGUCUGAGAGGAUGAUCAGCCACACUGGGACUGAGACACGGCCCAGACUCCUACGGGAGGCAGCAGUGGGAAUAUUGGACAAUGGGCGAAAGCCUGAUCCAGCAAUGCCGCGUGAGUGAUGAAGGCCCUAGGGUUGUAAAGCUCUUUUGUGCGGGAAGAUAAUGACGGUACCGCAAGAAUAAGCCCCGGCUAACUUCGUGCCAGCAGCCGC